rnacentral:rRNA from 1 species
GUGCCAGCCGCCGCGGUAAUACGGAGGGGGCUAGCGUUGUUCGGAAUUACUGGGCGUAAAGCGUACGUAGGCGGCUUUGUAAGUUAGAGGUGAAAGCCCGGGGCUCAACCCCGGAAUUGCCUUUAAGACUGCAUCGCUUGAACGUCGGAGAGGUGAGUGGAAUUCCGAGUGUAGAGGUGAAAUUCGUAGAUAUUCGGAAGAACACCAGUGGCGAAGGCGGCUCACUGGACGACUGUUGACGCUGAGGUACGAAAGCGUGGGGAGCAAACAGGAUUAGAAACCCGAGUAGUCC